rnacentral:sRNA from 1 species
AUGGACCACGCGUCCACUGCGGUUGUGAGCGCGCCGUCCGCGCCCACCUGACAAGCCCCCCUCCCUUUUGUUCUCC